GACUCGCUUUGCAUGGCAGGCUCCCUGCACUUGUGUGCGGCUAACUGUCUUGGGCUGUCUAUUCACUGUCCCCUUUGAWUGGCUCUUUGGCUCUGAAGGGGUGCUUGGUUUGGUUGCCUGUGCGGUAUUACCAUGUUGGUAGCAUGAUUGUCACGCUGUUGCCUAUUUAGCUUGCUCCGAUGAUGCUUUGCAUCGUUGGGGUGCCGAGGUGUUUGCAAAUUCUAUGUGUUGCCAUGUGCUUGUGCCUUGGAAAUGCAUUUGUGAUUUUGUUGGAUCUCACGGAUAUUGUCCCUUUAGUGAGUGGUCUAGGGGCUUCAAGCUUGUAGACCUAUGAGGUUGCCCGUGCACCUAUCAUUGUUCCUGAUGUUUUGCCAACCAUGUUGUGGUUCUUGCAUCAUUAUGUUGGCGAAUAUACAGGGCAUAUGGUUAUUUGUGUGUGGCAUGCCUCCUUGAUCGCUUGACAUGCGAUUGCUGGUCUGCAUUGUCAUGAGG
rnacentral:misc_RNA from 1 species